AGAAUAUAAGAACCCGUCUCUUAACUUUUAACUAAAAGAAACUAAGAACCGACUCUUAGCUUUUUUAGUUAAAAGUUAAGAGACGAGUUAUUAUAUUCU
rfam:Brassica napus, WGS project CCCW01000000 data, contig: 7303